rnacentral:rRNA from 1 species
AGUGAACGCUGGCGGUAGGCCUAACACAUGCAAGUCGAACGGCAGCACAGUAAGAGCUUGCUCUUACGGGUGGCGAGUGGCGGACGGGUGAGGAAUACAUCGGAAUCUACUUUUUCGUGGGGGAUAACGUAGGGAAACUUACGCUAAUACCGCAUACGACCUACAGGUGAAAGCAGGGGAUCUUCUGACCUUGCGCGAUUGAAUGAGCCGAUGUCGGAUUAGCUAGUUGGCGGGGUAAAGGCCCACCAAGGCGACGAUCCGUAGCUGGUCUGAGAGGAUGAUCAGCCACACUGGAACUGAGACACGGUCCAGACUCCUACGGGAGGCAGCAGUGGGGAAUAUUAGACAAUGGGCGCGAGCCUGAUCCAGCCAUACCGCGUGGGUGAAGAAGGCCUUCGGGUUGUAAAGCCCUUUUGUUGGGAAAGAAAAGCAGCAGGUUAAUACCCCGCUGUUCUGACGGUACCCAAAGAAUAAGCACCGGCUAACUUCGUG